rnacentral:rRNA from 1 species
AUGUCCACGAUCUUCGUGCUGGGCUUCGCAUACAUUGAUGGCGGUCGCAACCACCCACCCCUCCUACUUCGUCUCCAUUUCGACGAAAAGCGCAUCGGUCUCCGCCUGUUCCUGCCGGAUGAAGCGUCGGUUCGCCUCCAUGGCGGCCUCAUCUUGAAUGGUCUCAACGGAGGUCUGCUCCACCAUCUCUGCGGGUGGGCAACCUCGUACUCCGUCAUGGCGUCCGCCAUGGUGAAGUCAUCAACCAGCACCGGCUCCUCCAUGGGCUCCGGCCGUUGGAAUUUGGUACUUGCCGCUGUAGAUGCUCUCACCUCCUGUUCCGAGAUUGACCGGAAAAGACUGGAUGGGGAGAGGGGGAAAAAUCUCCAUUCUAGUUUGCCAUCCAUUUGCCCCCUGAGGAGGAUCCUGACGGGCGGAAACGAGGUUGAUGUGCCCACUGCCGCCGUGAUUCUUUCUAGCCAUACUCCCCGGCUGCUCUGGUUUGGCUGCCGCCCCGCCAUGAAGCAAAAGUUCGUGGUGAAGGUCGAGCUCAAGGACAACAGACAGAGGUCGAAAGCGUUGACAGCAGUCGCCGUUCUCCCCGGCGUCGAGUCGAUUUCUUUGGAAAUUCAUGGGAAUAUCGUGGUCAUCGGGGACGGCGUUGACAUCCUCCAGGCCGUGGGAAGGUUGUUCGGGCAUGCUUCUCUCCUCUCCGUCAAGGAGGAGCUCAAGAAGAAAGACGGCAGCGGCCAGGAGGAGGACGAAAGCGGUGCGACUCCUCCGUGCGAGUUCACAUUCGGGCACUUGAGCCGUAUCACAAAUAAUUUCUCAGGGGAGCGCAUAAUUGGUCGUGGUCGGCGUGGAUUAGUUUACAAGGCAGCACACCCCCACCCCUCACCUGCAGACCCUCCCCUCCGAACCCAAUGUCCCUGGCACCGCCUCGAGGAAGGUUACAGUGCACGGGGCACCGCCGAAGCCCGAUCCGCAUCGGAUCUUGGGCUUUCACCCGGACAAGGGUCGGAGUGGAGAGAUGGUGUCCUCAACAGCGCCCCCAAGGAGGAAAGCGGCGCCAAAAGGCGGCGUCGCAGCUGCCGGCCAGCCAAGGCGGCCAAGGUUUCCUUCAGACACCGAUCUGCUCCACCAGAACACACCGGAGGCGGAUCCGGCAAGAUCCAAAGCCGAACCGGGGACUGGGAGGGGAUGCAUGGAAAGGAAGGGGGCAAUACCUCCAGAUCAGGCAUGGGAAGCUCUGCGCCGCGCUCGACCACCACCUGCGGCAUGAAAGGAGAGAUUUUUUGGCGGGGCGGUAACCGCCAUGAAACCUCCAUGCGGGCCUACCAAACGCCGCUGCCCCAUCGAAAACUCACCGGAGCGCCGCCGUCGCCUAUACCGGAAAACCACCGCGUCGCCGCGACAGGCCGCCACCGUGCCGGAAGGAUGCCAUGUCGCGUGCCGCCACGCUGCCACAUUGCACCCCCGCCACUGCGCCACAUUGCCACCGCCUCUCGUGCCCCCCUGGCCACGCCGCCACACGCGGCCCCUCGCUGGUGCCAACACGCACCCGCGCCACCGCCCACCGCUGGUGGCCACCACUAA